UCUUCUUGUUUCAAACUCGAGUUGUUUGC
rnacentral:piRNA from 1 species